AAUGGGUUUUUGUUUAUCUGUAUUUUAUUCAGAGUUCCUUGGUUUGACUGGUGUCCUUUUCCUGUUCCAGGCAUCCAUCCAGGAUACUACAUUAUGUUUAGUCAUUGUGUGUUCUUAGGCUCCUCUUGGCUGUACUAGUUUCUUAGAAUUUCCUCGUUUUUGAUUGUCUGGACAUGAUGAUCUUGACAGUUUUGAGGAGAAGUGGUCAGGUAUUUUGUAGAAUGUCCCUCAUAUGAUAAAAAUUUUUUUAGUUCUUUAUGCAUUUCUUGCCCCCACUAACACAAAAUAGACUGUGAAAGUGCCACUAUUAAAGAUACAUUAAAGUAUGAGAGAAAGAUAAAUUCUUAUAAGAAUCUGGGAAGGCUUUUCAUCACAAGUAAUAUUGUCCAUGAAGUAAUUAGUUGUGUUUGUGGUAGGAUAGGGGGUGUCACAUGAAAAUCAAGAGUGCAGGUCAUGUUCUAGUAACAGACUAAUAGAAUUGCAAUGUGAUGCGAGUAAGGUGCAAUUAGAAGUAACAGUGUAAAGUUUGGCAGGGGCCUGAGAGCUUUUUUCCCUCCUGACACCAAAUAAAUGGUAUCUUUUCCAACAACA
rnacentral:lncRNA from 1 species